CCUGCUCUGACGUGUCCAUGAAGUGUAAACAACAAUCCUGCAGGAAUCUGCAACAUGCACCGAAAAUUAAAGCAUUUCGUUGCCGAUAAUAAUGCUAUUUUAUGCUCGCGGGCAUGGAGAACUGGAGUCUUGUAAUCCCUUUGUGUUUUGCUCGGUUUUACGGCGAGAUGGGCUGUAAUCCUUGAACUCGUAUUCAGUGGCUGGCAAACCACCUAUGUAAGGGGCGAAACUCAACGGCACUGGCAAGAAGUGACAUAUAAUCUGCCUGUCUAUGAAUGAGCCAAACGGAUAAACCCAGAGUGGGUGGAACUGCACACGUCUCAAGGUUACGAAAGCUUAGCCCAUAAGAUGUUUACGAGAGCCACAGCUAAGACUACUGAAGGACAGGUAUCAAACAGCUGUUAACCCCCCGUGUGGUUUUCAAUAUCAUCAUCUACAAUACAUUUUACAUAAAAGUUCUAUAGGUGAUUAUUUGUUUACUGGGUCAUCCACGAAAUGAGUCCCUUUUGGGUAGUGUAACUUGGUGGGGGGGCGUAUUUCACCAAAUUAUUACAUUCUGUCACAUGUUCCAUUGAAUAAAAAAACAUGUUUUCCCAUAUCAAGAGGUUACAUUUUGUUUUAGUAUGUGCCAAACAAAGUAACAGGUUGACUGCUACAAGGUUGACGAUUUAUCUUAAAAUCAGCCAUAAAUCCCCUUGUGACGGGGAAUGGAAGCUUGUGUGCAACAGGGAGGGGCAAUUGAAUGCAAGCUUCACAACAACAAAAAAUGCAAUUGUUAAGACAUUUCUAGCCUGUCUAUCUAUUGGUAACAGGGUUGAUGUGUUAUGCUCGACCCACUCAGUUUUCCACCACAAAAUACCAGAAAAUGGCCAGAAAGAGUAGAAACAGGCCGCCUGCUUUUACACUAUGAUUAGACUGUUAGAUGUUCAAUGUUUGUUUUUUUAAAUAUAUAUUUCAAGGGGAAUAGUUUCAUCAUAUUAAAAAGAGAGCUUAGUUGACAUAACAAGGUUGACCUUAAAAUGGGGGACAGGUGUUUUAUUUCACCUUAAAAUGAGUCACUAAACACAUUAAAUAAAUAAUAGUCUUCAGAAAUGACUUUUAUCAAAGCAAUAAAAUAACUAUGGCUUUACAAUGAUGGUGAAAACUUAGGGGAUAUUUUGGGGUUAAGUGGAUUAAAAUCUUCAUCCUCAUCUUCCUUGAGGUCACUUAGAGUGCACAGAGGGACAUGACAAAAUGCUGCAUUUUGGCAGUUAAGCAAAUCUUACUCUGCAUUUGAAACAGUGAGCUCCAAAAGUAUUGAGACAGUGACACAUGUUCUGUUGUUUUGGCUCACUACUCCAGCACUUUGGAUUUGAAAUGAUACAAUGACUAUGAGGUUAAAGUGCAGACGGUCAGCUUUCAUUUGAGGGUAUUUUCAUCCAUCUCGGGGAUACCCGUUUAUAAAUUACAGCACUUUUUGUUCAUAGUCCCCCCAUUUUAGGGGACCAAAAGUAUUAGAACAAAUUCACUUAUGUGUAUUAAAGUAGUCAA
ensembl:lncRNA